CAUAGGACCUCCAUGACAGCACUUUUUCUGUGCUGAACAGUCAACUGAGUGUGCAAUGCAGCCGAGUGGGUGAAAGCCUGGAUUGUGUGCAAAGCACUAGCUGGGAUGAGGAGUCAGAGGGACCUGGAUCGGAAUCCCGGCUGUGCCCCUUCCCAGCUGAGUGACCCCUCUGCGCCUCAGUUUCUGCGUGUGUCAAACAGGAACCACGGCUCCUCCAGCAGGUGUGACUUUGACGUUUGAGGGAAGAGCUGCAGAGGAUCAGAGGUACCAGAAGACCCUCAUACAGUGUGCGCUCUUGACCCCGGAAGUAUACGGCCGCGGGGCUCAGGGAGGAGGGAGAGGGGGGCCCGGUCACCUUCACGGCGAAGUCGAUGACCCUCUUGACAGCCACAAGCGCGCGCAGCUCCGCCAUCUUCCCUCCGCGGCGACCCGCCGGGUCAGUCCUCACCCUCGGCCUCAGGGUCCGGACGCCCCGCCCCCUGUCCUUCUCUGCGCCGGUGCCCCGCGCCACCAGCCAGUCAACCGCUGCGGUGCCCGCCUCCCCGCCCCGACAGAGGACCAAUCAGGAGGCCUGAGGGGAGGGCGGUGCGGCAAGCGGAUGCGGGCCAAUGGGGAGAGGAUCCUGGGGAGGGAGGCGGAACCCGGAGGGGAAAGGAAAAACUGCUUUGUGAAGGGGGCGUGGCCGAGAACUAGGGGAAAGGUCUUGCGGGGGAGGGAAGCGUAGCCAGGGAGGAGUUUCAACGAGUAGUCCUAAGCUUCUCCCAGUGCCCUAGGAUUAGCCCUCUCCCCUAGGUCCGCACCUCUUACUCGCCUCUCCGAGUCGCGGUGCCUAUGUGUCCGAGUCCCCCCAUUCUCUCCGUGCCCGUGUUCCUCAUCCCCUCUAUGAUCGUGCCUCUACGUUCCCCCAUAUCCGUCCUCCCCCGUCCCUGUCUCCACUUUUCCUCCAUGUCUGUGUCCCUACAUCCUCUCCACGAGCCCUUGUGCCCUCCUGACCCCACUACCCCCUGUCCCUGUUCCCAUCAAAACUCUUGUCCUGUCCAUGACCGAAUCUCCGUUCCCGUGUCCCCCCAUGUCUCCACGUUCCCUAUAGGUUCGUGUCCUUACUUCCUCCCUGAGCCUCCAGGUACCCCCGUGUCCGCGUCCUCAGGUCCCCCAGAAAGGCACGUGGAGCCGCGGCAAUGGAAGCAGUUCCUUUAUUCUGCCCCAGGCAGCUGCGGUCAUAAGCACACGGGGAAUCCACUGAUGGCAUCCGUGCUCUGCAUGAUCAUGUCCGCCAGCAGAAAGCAGAAGCCUGGCGGGAAGGGAACGGAGGGCGGGUGGAGGAGGGUUACCCGCGAGAACAGAGAAGGGUAAAGCCAGCCACCCCGAAAAACAGGACCAGGAGAAGAAGACGUCGUUUUUCCCUGCAUUCUUCACUGUGUAGCCUGUCAUGGCGAUCAGCUGCAGCAGGCCUGGGCCCCGCCCACCCGCCAGGUGGAGCCAAAACGAUGUGCUGAUGAAUCAGAUGUGAGACGUAACAGAAGGAAAGCUAUGGAGGGUGAUCCCAAUGUUUCUGGCUUGAGCAGCUAGAUAAAAAUGGACUUGUCGGGCUUCCCUGGUGGCGCAGUGGUUGAGAAUCUGCCUGCUAAUGCAGGGGACACGGGUUCGAGCCCUGGUCUGGGAGGAUCCCACAUGCCGUGGAGCAACUAGGCCCGUGAGCCACAACUACUGAGCCCGCAUGUCUGGAGCCUGUGCUCCACAACAAGAGAGGCCCACGCACUGCGAUGAAGAGUGGCCCCCGCUUGCCACAACUAGAGAAAGCCCUCGCACAGAAACGAAGACCCAACACAGCAAAAAUAAAUAAAAUAAAUUAAUUUUUUUUUUAAAAAAGAAAAAAUCCUUAAAAAAAUUUAAAACAAAAAUGGACUUGUCAUUUACUAAGUUGGGAGAGACCAUGGGAGGAGCAGAUGCGAGGUGUGAGAGAGUUCAGGAGCUCAACUUCAGAUAUGUGAAAACUGAGAUGCCUCUUCUUUUCAGGUGGAAAUGUUGAGUAAGUAGUUGGAGAUACGAGUCUGAAGUUAUAACAUCAUUAUUAUUGCUAGAGUCAGCCCCUAUAAAUAUGAUUCCUGGAAUAAGUCUCAGGAAAUACUUCUACUUAAAUAGGCCUCAAUAAAUUAUAAUUAGAGAAGAAGGCUUCAGUUGCUAUUAUUACUAGAGGAAGCCUCUAUAAAUAUAGUAUUUUGGUUAUUUGAGGAGGUCCCAAUAAAUAUUUCUAGGGAGUAAGCCUCUAUUAAUAUAACAGUUCCUAGCCUAGGCUGUAAUAAAUAUUCUUAUUAUUGGAAUUAGCCUCCCUAAAUAGUCUUAUUAUUUCGUGAUAAGCUUUAGUAAAUCUCAUGGCAGUUGGCACGAGUUUGUUGAAUGCACUAAUGAAUGAGUGAGUGAAGAGAAGAUCAAAGUCACGAAUGAUGGAUGAAGAGGCAGUGCAGGACCAGGUGCAGAUCAGACUUCUGGUGUUUCUCCUUGGAAGGGUCCAUCCAGGGAGGGGCCAGGAGGUUGGGAGAGCCAACUGGAGAUGGCGCGAGUGGGCAAGGAGGUUGUUUUUCCACAGUUGUUCCUUUUUUUUUUUUUUUGGCUGCGCUGGGCAACAUGUGGGAUCUGAGUUCCCAGGCUGAAUUCGCUCAGUGGCGUUCUGGAGGGCUCCGAGGAGCUCUGGUUGUCUCAGCACAGAAAGAAUUCAGUGAGAGGCAAAGUGAUGAGAUAAGAAGCGAUUUAUUAGAUUAUGAGGAUAGGAUGCUUAUGAGGCUUACAAGUGGGUGGGCGAGAGGGUGCCACGCCGAGAACUUAGUGGGCUCCUGUUUUAUAAUCAAAGGAAAAGUGGGGAGGGGGAGAAGACCACCUCCUUCCUCAUUCUUGAGUAGACGUCAUGCUUCCAUCGUCAGCUCCGCCUCCAGGUUGGUCAGGGGAGUUUUUUUGUCCCUACAUGGUCAAGCCAGGACUAUCAUGGCACUAUGGAAAAAUUAUUUCAGGUCUCAGUACAAUGAGGGUCUUUCACUUUGAAAUAUCACCUUUCCAUAAAUUAUUGUCUUGUAUGUGUGCAGAGAGAAUGUCAUGGGGGUUAUUAACUUACUGAGCUCACGGGACAGGAUGUGGGUCUCACGCCACCAUUGUUUUAUUGUUUGGGGCAUGUCUCAUGCUUCUGUUGCAUGGUUUUGUUGCUAAGCAAACCUGCUUGGUUUUGUGGUUAAGCAAACCUGCUUUCUUAAGUGAUCUUAACUUAUAGGGGUCUCCCAUACUUUUUCUUUACUUACAAUCCCCUAGUGUAAGUAAAUCCUCUAUUUAACUAAUCCCCUAUUUAAUUACCUACUUUGUCCCUUUAUUCUGUCCCUAUCAUGGCCAGGGAUAGAACCCAUGCCCCCAGCAUUGGGAGUGUGGAGUCUUAACCACUGGACCACUGGGGAAGGUCCACAGAUCUUUUCAUUUAUCGUGUUAUCCUACUGUGAUAUUAUGUUUUAUAAUAAAUAUAUAUUGGGUCUUUGUCCCCCACUUCUGGCAUAGGGAUCCUAAAACUCUUGGAAUUUCCUAAGUUGUGAGAGCAAGGGGAACCAACCACAUGAUUAGAGGGUCAGAAAUUGCAGUCCCACCCCUUGACCUCCUGGGAGGGCAGAGAAGUUGGAGAUUGAGUUCAACCACAAAUGGCCAAUGAUUUAAUCAAUCAUAACUAUGUGAAGUCUCCAGAAAAACCCAGAAGGAGAGGAUUGAGAGAGCUUCUGGGCUGGUGAACACGUGCUUUCUGGGGGAGAGUGACCUACUUGGAGAGAGCAUGGACGCUCCACACCUCUUCUCACUUACCUUGACCUGUGAAUCUCUUCCAUCUGGCUGGUUUUUGUUUGUUUGGUUGGUUGGUGUUUUUUGCGAUACGUGGGCUCUCACUGUUGCGGCCUCUCCCCUUGCAGAGCACAGGCUCCGGACGCGCAGGCUCAGCGGCCAUGGCUCAGGGGCCCAGCCACUGCGCAGCAUGUGGGAUCUUCCCGGACCGGGGCACGAACCCGUGUCCCCUGCAUCGGCAGGCGGACUCUCAACCACUGCGCCACCAGGGAAGCCCCAUCUGGUUGUUUUGAGUUAUAUCCUUUUAUAAAAAACUGGUGAUCUAGUAAGUAAAGUGUUUCCCCGAGUUCUGUGAGCUGCUCUAGCAAAUUAAUGGAACCCAAGGAGGGGGUUGUUGGGACCUCUAGUCUAUUGCUGGUUGCUCAGAAGCACAAGUGACAACCUGGGCUUGUGAUUGGCAUCUGAAGUGGGAGGCGCGGUCUUCUAGGGCUGUGUCUUUAACUUGUGUGAUCUGACACUUUCUCUAGGUAGAUCGUGUCAGAAUUGAGUUAUUCGCUUGGUGGUGUGGGGAAAAAACACACCCAUCAGAAUUGGACCCACACAUUGGUUUCCUAGCAGUUGAACCCAGGGACUUUCCUGACGGUCCAGUGGUUAGGACUCCGCACUUCUACUGCAGGGGGCCCAGGUUCGAUCCCUAGUGGGAGAACUAAGAUCCCACACAUCGAGGGGUGCAGCCCAAAAAGAAAAAGGUGAAUCUAGUAGGGUGGGGACUGUGCAAUUUAUCUCUGUGCCCAUCUCUCCUACAGGAACUGAGCAGGCAGGCCUACUAUAAUGCCACCACCCCUGCCCCAUUCACCACACUUCACCCCUCUUUCUCUCCACUCGAACGCCUCAGGGACCACACUUCAGUAGUUUCCGUCAGUUUUAUUAAACUCCAAAAAGUCUCUCUAAUGGAUAUUCCGUUUCUCUAACAACCCCCCUGGUGGCUGGGGCCUUGGGUCUCCUCAACUGCCUCCACCAGGCCCCAGGAACCAGGAUUUCAGGCCUCUAGACCCACCACCUCCUCUUCAGUGACCUGACUUUGACAUCCAGAUGAAGUCGGGGCACACAUUUGGGUUCAGCGGGGAGUGGACAGGCGCCGACAUUCAUUCAUCCGGGCUUGGAGUCUGCCUUCUGGUUCAGUGCCGGGGGCGCCUGUGUGGGACUCGCCCCCAUCAUCUCACCCGGACACUGGCCUUUCCACCCCCAAACCCAGUACCUGCAAAGAAGGUCAUGAGCAGGGCU